ACAGCAGCCGCCGCGGUAAUACGUAGGGGGCAAGCGUUAUCCGGAAUUACUGGGUGUAAAGGGAGCGUAGACGGUUAAACAAGUCUGAAGUGAAAUGCCGGGGCUCAACCCCGGAGCUGCUUUGGGAACUGUAGAACUGGAGUGUCGGAGGGGUAAGCGGAAUUCCCAGUGUAGCGGUGAAAUGCGUAGAUAUUGGGAGGAACACCGGCGGCGAAGGCGGCUUACUGGACGACAACUGACGUUGAGGCUCGAAGGCGUGGGUAGCGAACAGGAUUAGAUACCCGCGUAGUCCCUGUCUCUUAUAA
rnacentral:rRNA from 1 species